AGUGAACGCUGGCGGUAGGCCUAACACAUGCAAGUCGAACGGCAGCACAGUAAGAGCUUGCUCUUACGGGUGGCGAGUGGCGGACGGGUGGGGAAUACAUCGGAAUCUACUUUUUCGUGGGGGAUAACGUAGGGAAACUUACGCUAAUACCGCAUACGACCUACGGGUGAAAGCAGGGGAUCUUCGGACCUUGCGCGAUUGAAUGAGCCGAUGUCGGAUUAGCUAGUUGGCGGGGUAAAGGCCCACCAAGGCGACGAUCCGUAGCUGGUCUGAGAGGAUGAGCAGCCACACUGGAACUGAGACACGGUCCAGACUCCUACGGGAUGCAGCAGUGGGGAAUAUUGGACAAUGGGCGCAAGCCUGAUCCAGCCAUACCGCGUGGGUGAAGAAGGCCUUCGGGUUGUAAAGCCCUUUUGUUGGGAAAGAAAAGCAGCAGGUUAAUACCCCGCUGUUCUGACGGUACCCAAAGAAUAAGCACCGGCUAACUUCGUG
rnacentral:rRNA from 1 species